UAUUCUUUAGAUCCAUUUUAGAGAUUUUUCUUGUCUAAGAUGUCCAGAUAAUAGGAUGUCAUGUCCCUCUUGAAGUAUGUACAUCUAAAGUAUAGCAUUGUUAAGUAUAUUAAUCUUCUUUUUGAAAUAGAGCAAGCCAUCACUAAGACUGUAAUCUUGAUAUUGUAUAUUACCUACCUUCAAUUGAUCGCUAACCAUCUUCAAAUAAAUAUUUCAAUGCAUAGCUUUCUUCUAUUUUAUAUCUUUGAUUAAGUUUAAAAUGACACUACUAAUGGUGACAAUUUCUGUGUUAUUUUCAAAUUUUACCUUAAAGUUUGAUCUUUGCAAUAAGCUGUUUAAUAGAAUAUAUUCUUGCCC
rnacentral:lncRNA from 1 species